AGUGAACGCUGGCGGUAGGCCUAACACAUGCAAGUCGAACGGCAGCACAGUAAGAGCUUGCUCUUACGGGUGGCGAGUGGCGGACGGGUGAGGAAUACAUCGGAAUCUACUUUUUCGUGGGGGAUAACGUAGGGAAACUUACGCUAAUACCGCAUACGACCUACGGGUGAAAGCAGGGGAUCUUCGGACCUUGCGCGAUUGAAUGAGCCGAUGUCGGAUUAGCUAGUUGGCGGGGUAAAGGCCCACCAAGGCGACGAUCCGUAGCUGGUCUGAGAGGAUGAUCGGCCCAACGGGAACGAGGACACGGCCCAGACCCCUAGGGGAGGCAGCAGUGGGGAAUUUGGGACAAGGGGCGCAAGCCUGAACCAGCCAUCCCGGGGGGGUGAAGAAGGCCUUCGGUUUGUAAAGCCCUUUUGUUGGGAAAGAAAAGCAGCAGGUUAACACCCCGCUGUUCUGACGGUACCCAAAGAAUAAGCACCGGCGAACUUCGU
rnacentral:rRNA from 1 species